UACGUAGGGUGCAAGCGUUGUCCGGAAUUAUUGGGCGUAAAGAGCUCGUAGGCGGCUUGUCGCGUCGGCUGUGAAAACCUGGGGCUCAACCCCGGGCCUGCAGCCGAUACGGGCAAGCUAGAAUUCGGUAGGGGAGACUGGAAUUCCAGGUGUAGCGGUGAAAUGACGUAGAUAUCGUAAGGAAGACCAGUGGCGAAGGCGGGUCGUCUGGACAGUUCCUGACGCUGAGGAGGCGAAAG
rnacentral:rRNA from 1 species